CCUACGGGAGGCAGCAGUCGAGAGGCUUCGGCAAUGGGGGAAACCCUGACCGAGCGACGCCGCGUGGGGGAUGAAGGCCCUUGGGUUGUAAACCCCUUUUGUUCGGGAAGAAGUGCGAUCAGGUGAACAAUCUGGUCGUUUGACGGUACCGGACGAAUAAGCUCCGGCUAACUCCGUGCCAGCAGCCGCGGUAAUACGGGGGGAGCAAGCGUUGUUCGGAAUCACUGGGCGUAAAGGGCGUGUAGGCGGUCAGGUAAGUAAGACGUGAAAUGCCUCGGCU
rnacentral:rRNA from 1 species